ACUUCAAGGUCUCAGAGCAAGUGACGUCACCGAUUGAAACGCUAUUUAGCGCGUACCACCGCUAACUAAGCUAGCCGUUUCACAUCCGUUACACAUACAAUCAUAUUCAUUAUGGUCUAAAAUGCAAAAAACUGAACCUAGAUCUGCACUCCUACUCUGAGACACUUUAUGAUAGGGACAACCCAGAGUAAAUAGAACGACUUAGCCAUGGCUUAACCAUGUGUUGCAUCUCCAUAAUGGUAAUUUCCUCCAGUAAUUACUCAUCAUUAAAGGUCUCACUCCCAAUCACCUGGUUAGUGUUUAUAAUACGGUCUGCCUUGGUAAAUCCCCAUCAUUCUGAAAUAGCCUGAUUGUGUUUAAUUGGAGCAUUCACUAAACAGAGACCACCCACCAGCAUCAACAAAUCCAAUAUAUUUUAACAGCAGGGAACAAUUUAAUCCGCCUCCAUAUAUCACCAUUGUAAACAACCAAGACGCAGAGCCCAAUGUUGCACAAUGAGCCUGCGUUGAGGAGGAGUUCAAAGGUCAGGUAAACACUUGUCCCAGGCUUUCCCUGCCUUUUUUAAUCAGGACUCCUGUCCAUUUUUUGAUCUUGAUUAGAUCUCUUGACUUAUGGCUGUGUACACUAAUGCUGCACUUCUGGCGGCUCCUUAACUCACUGUUUGGUUUGUUUCAUGUGGACGGGAAUGUCAAGUUGCUUGUUGGCCUGGAGGCUUGUGCGCUGAGUCGCCGACAAACCAUGGAAUGAAUCCUUUGCAGACUAAUGGGCGGGCCAACCUUUUCCAGUGUUUGUCAUGAGUGGUUUACCAGAUGGCUUCCAUGGAGUUUCUCAACCUCCACCAAAUAGGGAAUUGACAGCAAGUAAACAACCUGAACACCAACUGCCGCCAACGUAAACAUCUUAAGGUAGCAUGUGUCUCUGCUACAUUCAAAACUUCGGCUGCAGUUGUCAGGCUGGGUUAAAGGUCAUGAAGCAUCCAGUGACUGGUGGAAAUGAAAACCACACAGCUUGAAGAGAUCAGGUUGAAGAGGGAGGACAUAUUUAACUUGUGGGUCAUAGGUCAAACUCUCUCCCUCUACCUUUCCAUCUCCCCCGCUCUCUUUCACUCUCACCUUUCUCCUUCCCUCUUUCUUCCCCUCUACCCCGCUCUUUCUAUCACCCCACCUCUCUCUUUCUUCACCUACAUGUAUACUCCUGUCUUUUCCUCUUCUGACCCCCCUCCCCUCUCUCUCCUUCAUUCUCACCCUCUCUCUCAGCCUGGCUGUUAUUUCUCCAUAUGUUUUGACUAUGAGCUACCUGAGCUGGUCUGUGCUGUGGGCCUGAGGCAGGUCUCUGGCAGGCAGCAGUGUCAAGUUGGAGGGAGGCUUGGUGUUCUGUGUGUGACAUGGAGAAGGGCCCACCGGCACCGCAGCAGCCCCGCUGAGGCCAGGUCUACAGCUGUCCCACCCUGCCAGGGCCUCUGCUUACAGUCACUGUGAGUUACGACCGUUGCUCCUUACUCACACACACACACACACACACACACACACACACACACACACACACACACACACACACACACACACACACACACACACACACACACACACACACACACACAGAGAGGUGAAUGCCCCCCCUACUAGCAGCCACACACACCGCAGACACACACGCUGAGGCAAGAUAUAUUCCUAGCAGGAGCUUAAGCCCUAUCUGAGAAAGCCCAUUCCCACUGGGCUUGUUAAAGACAGGCCAUGUAGAAAGAGUACAUUUAAAGCCCACACAUCAAAUACAGGGGAAAUGUGAUGUGUAGCUGAUAGCUCUCUGUGCAUUCACACCCACAACCCAUGCCAGAGGGCACAGACAACACACACACACACACACACACACACACACACACACACACACACACACACACACACACAGUACCAGAGGGCAUGCACACACACACACCCCGUACCAGAGGGCACGCAAACACUCUUUAUCAGAGGGCACACACACACCUCGUACCAGAGGGCACGCAUACACACACACACACACACCGUACCAGAGGGCACGCACACACACACCCCAUACCAGAGGGCACGCACACAAACACACCCCGUACCAGAGGGCACACACACACCCUGUACCAGAGGGCACACACGCACACGCACACACACACAAUGAAUAACCCCCACCAGACGCACACAUAGACGAAUGAUCUUUAACAGAGGACACACACAAACUCCCAAAGCCCUCAAUCAAAGGUGUGUAUGGGCCCAGAAUACAUGUUUAUGUCUACAGAUCAAUCCAGCUGAUAAAGAAGCAGCCCAACCUUGACCUGAUAGAUCAACAAUGCUCUCUGUCUCUCCAUUAUUGGCGAGAUGUUUGGACACAGCUUGUAGCAGGGUGAUGAGGCCAGAACUGAUAUUGGAUUUCAUAACCCUAUAAUGCUAUAGUCCAAUCAUUGAAAUGCUUUACUUUAGAACAGAAGCUUUUGCUAAUUAAAUCAAUACAAUUGUCCUGUUGUUUGUUCUACAGCAAGGAGAACGUCCCCUGAAGGUGUGUGUGUGUGUGUGUGUGUGUAUAAAUGUGUUCAUGCAUGUAUGUGUGUGUGUCAAUGUAAUACAGUAUCUCAUGCAACAAUCACCGGAUGGAAUGCUUCUUGGUCCACAGGAAAGGAUGGAUGGAGAGAAGAUGGAUGGAUGGAUAGAGGAUCGAGAUUAGAGAUGGAUGGAUAGAGGAUAGAGACUAGAGAUGGAUGGAUAGAGACUAGAGAUGGAUGGAGAGAGGAUGGAUUGAGAAAGGCGUGGGUGUAGAUGAAUGGUGAGUGGGGGUCCUGCAGUACUAAAAGCCGGUGACCCAGACCAUACACACCCACUCACAGGGACCUAACACCACUCAGAGGACUGCUCCUUGGUCCACUGCUACCACAUGCUAAAACACUUAGAUACAACACACACACACACACACACACACACACACACAUACACACACACACACACGAUAGCAAAAUGCUAAAUGUGAAGUUCACAUUCAAAAUACAUCCCGAGACACAGACUACCAGUCAGAGACAUCAACACACGUUCUUGUGUGUGUUGCCAUGCGAUGGUGAUGAGCAGCACAUGACAUGAGUGGGGCGUGGAGCCCAACCUCUUAUCAGACAAAGGAGAUACACAGAGAAGAGAGAAGGAGGGAAGGAGAGGAGAAGGAGGGGGACGUGCCGCCCCAGACUGCAGUCAUGAGGUCUCCAUCCCGUUCCACACGCCGAGUCUCGUGGGUAAAAAGCCAUAGCCAAAACCCCCCUCACACACAGUCAAGAGUCACAACACACACACACACACACACAGUCAAGAGUCACAACACACACACAGGAACCGGACUGCGUAGAUUAAUGCCAUUCGCCCCGGGAGUACCCCUUUGGUUUUGAGUUGAGGAAGUUCAGACAAGCUAUUUCACACACACUGUUCAUGUGAUCCCAUAAAUUCACUUCCUUUUCUGUAUGUCUUGACCGAAAAGUUGCGUUUGUCAAUAAAAUGUUUGAUUUGCAAGUA